GACGAACGCUGGCGGCGUGCUUAACACAUGCAAGUCGAACGGAAAGGCCCUGCUUUUGUGGGGUGCUCGAGUGGCGAACGGGUGAGUAACACGUGAGUAACCUGCCCUUGACUUUGGGAUAACUUCAGGAAACUGGGGCUAAUACCGGAUAGGAGCUCCUGCUGCAUGGUGGUGGUUGGAAAGUUUCGGCGGUGGGGGAUGGACUCGCGGAUUAUCAGCUUGUUGGUGGGGUAGUGGCUUACCAAGGCUGUGACGGGUAGCCGGGCUGAGAGGGUGACCGGCAACAUUGGGAAUGAGCUACGGACACGACUACUACGGGCGGCAGCAGUGGGGAAUAUUGCACAAUGGGCGGCAGCCUGAUGCAGCAACGCCGCGUGCGGGAUGACGGCCUUCGGGUUGUAACCCGCUUUCGACUGUGACGAAGCGUGAGUGACGGUAAUGGGUAAAGAAGCACCGGCUAACUACGUG
rnacentral:rRNA from 1 species